UUGGUGUUAGUGGCAAAUGUGAGGUUGUGAUGGUGUUGGUGGCAUAUGUGAACAAUAGAGUAUGUAGGCCGCCUACCCAGACACAUUUAUAGCCGCAGUUUUUCCUAUGCUAGUUAAAA